rfam:Tupaia chinensis contig87124, whole genome shotgun sequence.
CUUGUGUUACACACAUAUGGAAUUGUUCAAUAAGAAAAGAUAGGUUAUUCAUCAACACUAGCUCUUUUCUGAUGAUCAAAAC